rnacentral:rRNA from 1 species
UACGUAGGGUGCGAGCGUUAAUCGGAAUUACUGGGCGUAAAGCGUGCGCAGGCGGUCUGUUAAGACCGAUGUGAAAUCCCCGGGCUUAACCUGGGAACUGCAUUGGUGACUGGCAGGGUUUGAGUGUGGCAGAGGGAGGUAGAAUUCCACGUGUAGCAGUGAAAUGCGUAGAGAUGUGGAGGAAUACCGAUGGCGAAGGCAGCCUCCUGGGCCAACACUGACGCUCAUGCACGAAAGCGUGGGGAGCAAACAGG